AUCUAACUGACAAGUCCCAAAUAGGACAAAAUGCACGUCCUGGAU
rnacentral:hammerhead_ribozyme from 1 species